CCAGCAAUCUGGGUCCCACAGGGGCCCUUUCCCUCUGCCACCCUCCCCAGCUCUGACAAACAGCUGAUGUUAUUUCAUCAAUGCAGUGUGGGCACAGAUCUCAUUGCGGCUCAGAGGAACUAAGCUUUGGAUAUGGAGAACACUGGAGAAGAGCAGACAUUGGCUAGCAGCGACAUGACAUCAACAGGGAGCAGAACUCAAGCAGAACAGUCGAGUUACAUCAUCCAAAGAAACUGGAGCCCCUCACUGCAUUUGAAAAAAGAGGACAGCUUAAAGCAAAAUCAGAUGGAUUUAUUUUUCCUGGCAUGAAGAAGUUCAGUCAUCUUUUUGAAACAGAAAAUAUACGUUUGCUUGUUUAGUCAUGAGUUAAAGAUAUUUUCUCCUUGGAGCUGUUUAUAUUAUCUUGAAAUUUCCCUUCUGUUUCUGAACCUCAAAUAGUUAACAUAAGAGCUUCAAAGGCUUUUUGAGAUGAACACAUUGGACAGAGGACUUUCAGUCUCUUUGCAUUUCAUACAAACAUAGAUAAAAGGUUUCAAGUGACAGAAUAGCCUUAAUAUUUUGAACAUCAAAGUGAAACUGGGCCUUAGAAAUCACCAUGUUGGCAAUGCCAGAUCUAACUAGCAUAUUUUUAUCAUUUAUUUCAGAUAUUUCCAUUUUUUUCACUGAUACUAAUGAAGACUGUUGCACAAGAGUGAAAAUUCUUAUUCACAGCUGUAUUUUAGGGGGUUGUUUGUAUAUCAGACUGAUAAAGCAUUUGGCUCCAUUUAUUGACAAAACAAAACCAUGGGAUUCACAUAUGGAAGUGUCUCCCAGCACCCUUAGUGCCAGAGCACUGCAUCUUCCCCCAGGGCCAGUGCACACCAUGGUGUGCUCUCAGUGUGGGUCCCCCACUGCCCUCACCAGCAGAUUACUGACUACAAACCAGCCCAGCCUUCCCAGCUUCCUUGUGAAGCUAUCCAGUCAGGUGGAAUGGUUGAAGGUCAUUGGCAAAAACACUAUAAACAUUUAACAAAAAUGUACAAACAGUUAACGUUAAAGGUGCGAAUUUUAGCAGAUGAGAGCUAAGACAUGGUAAUACAACAGGAAUAAAAAUGGCAAUUACUCUCCAUUGCAGGCAAAAACUGCCAAACCCUGAA